rnacentral:rRNA from 1 species
GAGUGGCGAACUGGUGAGUAACACGUGGGAAACCUGCCCAGAAGCGGGGGAUAACACCUGGAAACAGAUGCUAAUACCGCAUAACAACUUGGACCGCAUGGUCCGAGCUUGAAAGAUGGCUUCGGCUAUCACUUUUGGAUGGUCCCGCGGCGUAUUAGCUAGAUGGUGGGGUAACGGCUCACCAUGGCAAUGAUACGUAGCCGACCUGAGAGGGUAAUCGGCCACAUUGGGACUGAGACACGGCCCAAACUCCUACGGGAGGCAGCAGUAGGGAAUCUUCCACAAUGGACGAAAGUCUGAUGGAGCAACGCCGCGUGAGUGAAGAAGGGUUUCGGCUCGUAAAACUCUGUUGUUAAAGAAGAACAUAUCUGAGAGUAACUGUUCAGGUAUUGACGGUAUUUAACCAGAAAGCCACGGCUAACUACGUGCC